AUUGAACGCUGGCGGCAGGCCUAACACAUGCAAGUCGAACGAGUGGCGGACGGGUGAGUAAUGUCUGGGAAACUGCCCGAUGGAGGGGGAAAACUACUGGAAACGGUAGCAAAUACCGCAUACCCUCGGAUGUGCCCAGAUGGGAUUAGCUAGUAGGUGGGGUAACGGCACACCUAGGCGACGAUCCCUAGCUGGUCUGAGAGGAUGACCAGCCACACUGGAACUGAGACACGGUCCAGACUCCUACGUGAGGCAGCAGUGGGGAAUAUUGCACAAUGGGCGCAAGCCUGAUACAGCCAUGCCGCGUGUGUGAAGAAGGCCUUCGGGUUGUAAAGUACUUUCAGUGGGGAGGCGUUACUCGCAGAAGAAGCACCGGCUAACUCCGUGCCAGCAGCCGCGGUAAUAC
rnacentral:rRNA from 1 species